rnacentral:rRNA from 1 species
GACGAACGCUGGCGGCGUGCUUAACACAUGCAAGUCGAACGGAAAGGCCCUGCUUUUGUGGGGUGCUCGAGUGGCGGACGGGUGAGUAACACGUGAGUAACCUGCCCUUGACUUUGGGAUAACUUCAGGAAACUGGGGCUAAUACCGGAUAGGAGCUCCUGCUGCAUGGUGGGGGUUGGAAAGUUUCGGCGGUUGGGGAUGGACUCGCGGCUUAUCAGCUUGUUGGUGGGGUAGUGGCUUACCAAGGCUUUGACGGGUAGCCGGCCUGAGAGGGUGACCGGCCACAUUGGGCCUGAGAUACGGCCCAGACUCCUACGGGAGGCAGCAGUGGGGAAUAUUGCACAAUGGGCGGAAGCCUGAUGCAGCAACGCCGCGUGCGGGAUGACGGCCUUCGGGUUGUAAACCGCUUUCGCCUGUGACGAAGCGUGAGUGACGGUAAUGGGUAAAGAAGCACCGGCUAACUACGUG